UUAGGAUAAUAACGUUGUGGUCUGAAUAAAAAAUAGGGAACUCGGUGAAAGUCCGAGACUGACGCGCAGCGGUAAUGAGGAUUAAGAAAGCCUAUGACACUGUCAAAUAGAUGGGAAGUCGCUUCUAAAUAUCGAAAUAUCCAUAAAAUCAUUCAAGGCCUAAGAAAGUAGGCAGUGACGGUAGUCCUGAGUAUAUAGAAAUAUGUCAGUCAGCUUAAUCUAGUCAACAUAUCUACUCUUUGAAAGAUAAUUGGAUUCCUCUAAGUCCGAAGACCUGCCACAACUUUAUCGCUUAG
rnacentral:ncRNA from 2 species